rnacentral:rRNA from 1 species
CAGAUUGAACGCUGGCGGCAGGCCUAACACAUGCAAGUCGAGCGGUAGAGAGAAGCUUGCUUCUCUUGAGAGCGGCGGACGGGUGAGUAAUGCCUAGGAAUCUGCCUGGUAGUGGGGGAUAACGUUCGGAAACGAACGCUAAUACCGCAUACGUCCUACGGGAGAAAGCAGGGGACCUUCGGGCCUUGCGCUAUCAGAUGAGCCUAGGUCGGAUUAGCUAGUUGGUGGGGUAAUGGCUCACCAAGGCGACGAUCCGUAACUGGUCUGAGAGGAUGAUCCAGUCACACUGGAACUGAGACACGGUCCAGACUCCUACGGGAGGCAGCAGUGGGGAAUAUUGGACAAUGGGCGAAAGCCUGAUCCAGCCAUGCCGCGUGUGUGAAGAAGGUCUUCGGAUUGUAAAGCACUUUAAGUUGGGAGGAAGGGCCAUUACCUAAUACGUGAUGGUUUGACGUACCGACAA